rnacentral:piRNA from 1 species
UCAAAUGAAGGUGGCUACAAGUUCCAUG